rnacentral:rRNA from 10 species
GUUUGAUGUUCUAACGUGGACCCGUAAUCCGGGUUGCGGACAGUGUCUGGUGGGUAGUUUGACUGGGGCGGUCUCCUCCUAAAGAGUAACGGAGGAGCACGAAGGUUGGCUAAUCCUGGUCGGACAUCAGGAGGUUAGUGCAAUGGCAUAAGCCAGCUUGACUGCGAGCGUGACGGCGCGAGCAGGUGCGAAAGCAGGUCAUAGUGAUCCGGUGGUUCUGAAUGGAAGGGCCAUCGCUCAACGGAUAAAAGGUACUCCGGGGAUAACAGGCUGAUACCGCCCAAGAGUUCAUAUCGACGGCGGUGUUUGGCACCUCGAUGUCGGCUCAUCACAUCCUGGGGCUGAAGUAGGUCCCAAGGGUAUGGCUGUUCGCCAUUUAAAGUGGUACGCGAGCUGGGUUUAGAACGUCGUGAGACAGUUCGGUCCCUAUCUGCCGUGGGCGCUGGAGAACUGAGGGGGGCUGCUCCUAGUACGAGAGGACCGGAGUGGACGCAUCACUGGUGUUCGGGUUGUCAUGCCAAUGGCACUGCCCGGUAGCUAAAUGCGGAAGAGAUAAGUGCUGAAAGCAUCUAAGCACGAAACUUGCCCCGA